CCCCGUGUUUGCCCGGGGGAUUGGUGGCGAACGGGUGAGUAACACGUGAGUAACCUGCCCCCGACUUUGGGAUAAGCCCGGGAAACUGGGUCUAAUACCGGAUAUGACUUCUUACCGCAUGGUGGGUUGUUGAAAGAUUUAUCGGUGGGGGAUGGACUCGCGGCCUAUCAGCUUGUUGGUGAGGUAAUGGCUCACCAAGGCGACGACGGGUAGCCGGCCUGAGAGGGUGACCGGCCACACUGGGACUGAGACACGGCCCAGACUCCUACGGGAGGCAGCAGUGGGGAAUAUUGCACAAUGGGCGAAAGCCUGAUGCAGCGACGCCGCGUGAGGGAUGACGGCCUUCGGGUUGUAAACCUCUUUCAGUAGGGAAGAAGCGAAAGUGACGGUACCUGCAGAAGAAGCGCCGGCUAACUACGUGCCAGCAGCCGCGGUAAUACGUAGGGCGCAAGCGUUAUCCGGAUUUAUUGGGCGUAAAGAGCUCGUAGGCGGUUUGUCGCGUCUGCCGUGAAAGUCCGAGGCUCAACCUCGGAUCUGCGGUGGGUACGGGCAGACUAGAGUGAUGUAGGGGAGACUGGAAUUCCUGGUGUAGCGGUGAAAUGCGCAGAUAUCAAGAGGAACACCGAUGGCGAAAGCAGGUCUCUGGGCAUUUACUGACGCUGAGGAGCGAAAGCAUGGGGAGCGAACAGGAUUAGAUACCCUGGUAGUCCCUGCCGUAAACGUUGGGCACUAGGUGUGGGGGACAUUCCACGUUUUCCCCGCCGUAGCUAACACAUUAAAUGCCCCGCCUGGGGAGUACGGCCGCAAGGCUAAAAUCUCACGAAUUGACGGCGGCCCGCCCCAGCGCCGGAGAUCGCGAUUAAUUCCUGCAUCGCGAAUAACAUAUCAAGACUUGAC
rnacentral:rRNA from 1 species